rnacentral:misc_RNA from 1 species
AAGUCGUAACAAGGUUUCCGUAGGUGAACCUGCGGAAGGAUCAUUACAGUGGCCUGCGCAAGCGGGCGUCUGCCUGCCCCUGUUGGGGUGGGCGGAUUUUCCAUGAGAUUGGAGGGAGUGAGGAUGUAUUACAACCAUGAACAACGGAUCUCUAGGCUCCU